GCAUUUUAAGUGAAAUCGAGUAGGUCGGAGCACGUGAAACUUUGACUGAAUAUAGGUGGACCAUCAUCUAAGGCUAAAUACUCCCAACUGACCGAUAGUGAACCAGUACCGUGAGGGAAAGGCGAAAAGAACCCCUGUGAGGGGAGUGAAAUAGAACCUGAAACCGUGUACGUACAAGCAGUAGGAGCCUACUUGUUAGGUGACUGCGUACCUUUUGUAUAAUGGGUCAGCGACUUAUAUUUUGUAGCGAGGUUAACCGAUUAGGGUAGCCGUAGGGAAACCGAGUCUUAACUGGGCGAAUAGUUGCAAGGUAUAGACCCGAAACCCGGUGAUCUAGCCAUGGGCAGGUUGAAGAUUGAGUAACAUCAAUUGGAGGACCGAACCCACUAACGUUGAAAAGUUAGGGGAUGACCUGUGGUUAGGAGUGAAAGGCUAAUCAAACCGGGAGAUAGCUGGUUCUCCCCGAAAUCUAUUUAGGUAGAGCCUCGGACGAAUACUUACGGGGGUAGAGCACUGUUAAGGCUAGGGGGUCAUCCCGACUUACCAACCCUUUGCAAACUCCGAAUACCGUAAAGUAAUAUCCGGGAGACACACGGCGGGUGCUAACGUCCGUCGUGAAGAGGGAAACAACCCAGACCGCCAGCUAAGGUCCCAAAGUCAUAGUUAAGUGGGAAACGAUGUGGAAAGGCCCAGACAGCCAGGAGGUUGGCUUAGAAGCAGCCAUCCUUUAAAGAAAGCGUAAUAGCUCACUGGUCGAGUCGGUCUGCGCGGAAGAUGUAACGGGGCUAAACUAUGCACCGAAGCUGCGGAUUCAGAAUUUAUUCUGAGUGGUAGGGGAGCGUUCUGUAAGCGGUUGAAGGUGUACCGGGAGGUAUGCUGGACGUAUCAGAAGUGCGAAUGCUGACAUGAGUAACGAUAAUGCGGGUGAAAAACCCGCACGCCGGAAGACCAAGGGUUCCUAUCCCAUGUUAAUCAGGGUAGGGUAAGUCGACCCCUAAGGCGAGGCCGAAAGGCGUAGUCGAUGGGAAACGGAUUAAUAUUUCCGUACUUGGUAUAAUUGCGAUGGGGGGACGGAGCAGGCUAAGCAAGCAUGGCGAUGGUAGUCCAUGUGAAAGUGUGUAGGCUAGCGACUUAGGUAAAUCCGGGUUGCUGUUAGGCUGAGACACGAGACGAGUCACUACGGUGAUGAAGUUGCUGAUGCCAUACUUCCAGGAAAAGCCUCUAAGCUUCAGAUUAUACCGAAUCGUACCCCAAACCGACACAGGUGGUCAGGUAGAGAAUACUAAGGCGCUUGAGAGAACUCGGGUGAAGGAACUAGGCAAAAUCGUACCGUAACUUCGGGAGAAGGUACGCUCCGAUUGGUGAUGAGACUUGCUCUCUAAGCUGAUUGGAGCCGCAGUGACCAGGUGGCUGGGACUGUUUAUUAAAAACACAGCACUGUGCAAAAUCGCAAGAUGACGUAUACGGUGUGACACCUGCCCGGUGCCGGAAGGUUAAUUGAUGGGGUUAUCUUCGGAGAAGCUCUUGAUCGAAGCCCCGGUAAACGGCGGCCGUAACUAUAACGGUCCUAAGGUAGCGAAAUUCCUUGUCGGGUAAGUUCCGACCUGCACGAAUGGUGUAACCAUGGCCACGCUGUCUCCACCCGAGACUCAGUGAAAUUGAAAUCGCAGUGAAGAUGCUGUGUACCCGCGGCUAGACGGAAAGACCCCGUGAACCUUUACUACAGCUUGGCACUGAACAUUGAACCUACAUGUGUAGGAUAGGUGGGAGACUUAGAAGCAGAGACGCUAGUUUUUGUGGAGUCG
rnacentral:rRNA from 1 species